rnacentral:rRNA from 1 species
UGGGGAAUAUUGCACAAUGGGCGAAAGCCUGAUGCAGCAACGCCGCGUGAGUGAUGAAGGCCUUCGGGUUGUAAAGCUCUGUCUUCUGGGACGAUAAUGACGGUAGCAGAGGAGGAAGCCACGGCUAACUACGUGCCAGCAGCCGCGGUAAUACGUAGGUGGCAAGCGUUGUCCGGAUUUACUGGGCGUAAAGGAUGCGUAGGCGGAUACUUAAGUCAGAUGUGAAAAUCCCGGGCUUAACUUGGGAACUGCAUUUGAAACUGGGUAUCUAGAGUGCGGGAGAGGAAAGUGGAAUUCCUAGUGUAGCGGUGAAAUGCGUAGAGAUUAGGAAGAACACCAGUGGCGAAGGCGACUUUCUGGACCGUAACUGACGCUGAGGCAUGAAAGCGUGGGGAGCAAACA